CUAUAGUCCCAAUGAAUAGUUUUUAUAGAAUAUUUUUAUAUCCAAUCACAUUCAUUCUCUCUUCAUUCUUACCCAAUCAUAUCACUUCAUGUCUUGGAUUUUGUGUAGACAUAAUUUCUAACUUAGAACCAGUUUCUAUGAUUUUUGCUCUCUCUCUUCAAUAACUCUCUUGCCACAUCAGCAAAAUGCUUAGGUGACACUACAAUUAAUAUCUAUAGAAACCACCUGAAUUGGGAGUGCCCUUAUGAAAGGUUAAAAAGUAGGCCGGCAAAACUCAAAUUAGACCGUAUAUAAUUUGUGACCCCUGUCUUUGCCACUGAAGUCAGCCAUGUUAUUGCCAACAAAAGUUGGCGGUGGCACAUGCAACAAUUUAUUUACAGUUUUAUAGAGGACUUGUUUAGUUCGUAAUUUUUUUUGUUUUUUAAGUACUGUACCAUUUCGUUUUUAUUUGAUAAAUAUUGUCCAAUUACAGAGUAACUAGGCUCAAAGGAUUCAUCUCACAAAUUACAGGUAAACUGUACAGUUAGUUUUUAUUUUCUUCUAUAUUUAAUACUCUAUGUAUGUGAGCAAAGAUUCGAUGUGACGGGUCGGCGGACACACUCGCACCCUGCGGGCGCGGCUGCUGCACGACGUCACGGCUCCGAGACGGGCGCCAUCUCGUGACCCGGAGCGCGCAUGUACUAACCACUCGUGCGUACGCGCCCACACGCACCGUGAAACUACCAGCAGUUUUCACGUGAACCAUCGAUGGCACUGUCGAGCCACGCCGGCCGACCUACCGAACGCAUCGACGGCGCGCUGGCGUCGGGCAGUGGAGAGCGUACGGCCCUCCACCGGCGCCGCGUAUUAUAUAUAUAUAUAUAUACACACACACGAAUCAUAUAUAUUGUACGACAACGACUACUGGCUGCCAAUUCAGCAGUUUACUUUAUUUGCGUCGUCUUCUAACAGUAUCUCACUUGGGUUUCACCGCAUGGCC
rnacentral:lncRNA from 1 species